rnacentral:lncRNA from 1 species
GAUAACUGGUGAAUACCGUAGAUCGAGACAGAAGUGAUGCGCUAUAAGUCAAAGAUCCAAGAUACUCGAUAACUGGUAGAUGAAACCAGACCCAACGACAGCGAUGUGCCCGGAAGUCGAAGUCUAGUACACCUAAUAAUGGGAACUUGCAACUUGCUAGAGAUCGAGGUCGAUGCAGCGCAACUUGCUAGAAGGAACUCAUCGAGAAGCUACAUUACUCCUACUCCUAAUGCAAUGGC